AUACUUACCUGGACGGGGUCAAUGGGUGAUCUGGAAGGCCCAUGGCCUAGGACAGUAACCUCCAUUGCACGCUGGAGGGGUGCUGUACUAAGGUCUGUCCAAGUGGCAGAGCCUACGUCAUAAUUUGUGGUAGCUGGGGCCUGCGUUCGCGCGGCCCCUCC